CUGCCCCUACGGGGCGCAGCAGUGGGGAAUAUUGGGCAAUGGGCGCAAGCCUGACCCAGCAACGCCGCGUGAAGGAAGAAGGCUUUCGGGUUGUAAACUUCUUUUAUUGAGGACGAAACAAAUGACGGUACUCAAUGAAUAAGCCACGGCUAACUACGUGCCAGCAGCCGCGGUAAUACGUAGGUGGCAAGCGUUAUCCGGAUUUACUGGGUGUAAAGGGCGUAUAGGCGGGACUGCAAGGCAGAUGUGAAACCCAUGGGCUCAACCCAUGGCCUGCCUUUGAAA
rnacentral:rRNA from 1 species